rnacentral:lncRNA from 1 species
AAGUUGAAAUUGCAUUCUACUAUCAAUUCUCUCAUAAAUUGGCCACAAGUCACAGGCACCCAUAGCUUUCUUUGUAAGAGGCAAGAAAUAGUGGUCCAGAUUUGGCUCAGAGGCUAUAGUUUGCCCACCCCUGCUUUAUACAACUGGAAGAAAGAUGUCAAUUACCUACCUGCCCCGAGGCAUGGAUGCUGAUUUAUUUUCUCCUCCUCUAGGAUCAAUGAUACACAUUAGAGAGGUGGCUGGUAGGGGACCAGUGUGGCAGCCUCUUGUCCCCAGACUAAGCAAAACCAUCUGGCCCUCGGAGGAAUUGAACCCAUAUUAUCAACCUCAAUUAGCACCAUGUUUUACUCAAUUGAAGAAAUAAAAGUUGCAAUUAAUUCAACUGUCCUCGUCUUAGUCAUUAUCAAUUGCAAUAUUCUAUCCUUAUUUAGCUUCUAAAACCCAAAAGUUCAUGCUCCCGGACAAAGUACAUGGGAAAGUAUGAUAUGCCAGCAUUGUCACUAUUACAACUUGAAUGACUGCAGGAGAUUGUAUUUUUAAACUGCCUCAUCAUAGCCCUAUCCUCAAAUGUAUGCCAGGACUUCCAGAGAAGCAAAGUCACAUGGCUGUUUAUUCAAUGAGAAUUCAUGUUUAUCAUCUCUCAUCCCAAUCCUACUUCCCCUACACUAUUCUCCUGCUUGGCUCCUUGGAAAAGGAAACUGUCCUCCCUUCAGUUACAUUUUUGUCAUGUUCAAUGAGUUAAUUUUGUUGGCUCAGUUAUAUAUUUUAGUAUAAAUUAAAUUCAAGUUUCCUUUAUUUGAGUCUUUGGGCCAGUUGCAUUGCUUUAUACUUUCUGGUGUUCUCAAUUUCAACUUUGCUAGCAUUUAGAAGGCAAAGGCACUGUCUAGCAGAAGUAAUAAUCCUUUUAACUACCUAAUUGCUUCUGUUGGUUACCGCCGUUUGUCUUCUAGACUCAAGGCAUUGACUCUAGAUGACUUCCAAC